GAAAAUUAUAUGCUAGCCAACCGCAAGCAUACGCCCCGUAAAACUGAACCCAACAGCACACACACACACACACACCCCACCCACAUACCCAUUGUGAGUGUGUGGGGUAUUUUUCAUGCUUUGCCUUCGUCUCGCAUUCAUUACGUGAGUUGCAUGGCGACAAGCACAAGGAUUCACAUCCUUAUUCCCAACCACUUGCCAUUAGCGCAGCAGGCGAAGCACAUUUAAUUUUGUUGUUGAUGUUGUGCCCCCUCCGUUUUGGCAUCUAGCCCCCAAUCCUGCUGCUGUUGGGACUCUCAUCUUGUGGUUUUUUUUUUUGGCAAAUAAAUCAAGUAUUUUUUACAAAUUGUUGUCAUCAUGUUGACAUUUGCGACAUCUUUAUCGGCAUCGAAUUCUGGCCCAGGCCCAUGCAAAAUAGACCCUAAAAAUGUAUGAGUGUUAGAAUGUGUAUGUGGGAGAGACUUGUUAAUGUAAUUGAUGUGCGAGAGAGUGAGAGACAUGUAUAUACAAAAUGCGGAUCAACUUAAAGUGCCCCAAGUUGGGCGCCAAAAGAAAUGGCAACUUCUAAUUUCAAAGACUGACUAUAAUUAUCGGCCAUCAAGCGCAAAACAGGACGUUCAAACUUUUAUGAGAAAUUCAAGACUUCCGACGCUGUUAGCGACAGGCGAUGGGCGGGCGCAAAUUAAAAGGAAAACAAAAUGAAACUGAAGCGAAAAGGAAGCGGGGCGGAGCUGUAAAUGAAAAAUUACAUUUUAUUUUUAUUUAUGUAUUUGCAUUUGCCAUAAAACUCAGCGCAACAUCAUCAGCCGGAGUAGAAAACAACAUCAUGAACGUCGACGUUGCCCAAAUGACUUCCGUUUCCGCUUAAGAUGCAGCCACGCACACACACACACACACACACACACACACACACAAAUAUAUGCAGAGCAUCAGCAUGCAGCGCGCGUCA